CUUGUACUCCCUCCGUCCGGAAUUACUUGUCGUGAAAAUAAAUAAAAAUAGAUGUAUCUAAAACUAAAAUACAUCUAAAUACAUUCAUUUCUCCAACAAGUAUUUCCGGAUGGAGGGAGUAAUUU
rnacentral:pre_miRNA from 1 species